AAAUGAAUAAGCAUUUCUAAGUCACUUUUUAGUUCAUUUUUUUUUGUAUGUAUACAUAUGUAUAUAACAUACAAAGCCAGAUGUAAAGAAGUUCCUUGCUUGUCUUGCUGACAUCAGCUUUCUUAUGCAACUGUGAUGAAGAGGCAAUCCCAUGGUGAAAGUGCACACAGCUCAUUCCUGCAAGACUUUGCACUGUUCACAGCUCCUCCUGAACCCUGCACCCUAAGAUCCAAGCAGAAAAUAAUGAGCAAAAUAUUAGCAAAAUCCGUGGGUCUAGACAUAUCUUAAUUACCAGUUUGGACUCCAUUCUGACUGAAGAGAUGAAGUGAACAUUGGCUUUAAGUUUUCAAGUACACCCAGCUAAGCUACGCCUUCCAAACAUCAUACAUAAGGCAGGGAGUAUCCUGUUCAGUGUCAGAACAGAUGGCAGAAAGCUUGGAGGAAUUACUGCUUUGCAGGCAGGACAAAAGAACGAGAGCCCAAAUGCAGCCAGCCAGCUGAGAGCACACUGCUGCUCCUGCAAAGCUCUUCAAGGAGAAAUGCUGACACAGCCAUUUCCGGCACUAUUUGCUGCUGCAAGGAAUACUUAAGACCUGCAGAAGACCUGUUUUCAUGGAAACGUUGUCUACUAAGCAGUAGCAGACUGCUUCAUCUUAGACUUGAUCAUCACAGAGCGAAGAGGAAAACCUACAGCACUGAGAAAAGCAGUAUAGAACAUGGGCAACCAGAGGCUGUCUCAUAUUCGGGACCACCAGGUAUGAUGACCACACUGAUGGGAUAUUUCUGGGGCAAAGACAACCUACCCAACUGGAAACACACGUAUAUCGAGAGUGGCUGCUCUUGUCAAAAACUACAGUGGACUGAUUUCACUUUCCAGUGGUGGAUGGAGCAUCUCAAACCUUAGACAGAAUCCCAUCCCCUCAUCCUCCCUGCACAAAACCCCAUCUCCCCAUGGGAAGCAUGCAGGACAGAUUUCUGCUCUUUGCUGAUGUCUUUGUCCGGGCAGCUCCUCAUAGCAGCCUGCAGCUUCCUCAUGGCAGCCUAUAAGCGAUAGCCUGAGCCCUUUCAUUUCUUGUUAGCAAGCCAUAUUAGUCCCUAAAACAACUCCCCUCCACUUGCUCACCUUGAACUACAAGAACUCAUUUCUCGUUCAUCCACACAGCAUCAUAAACAGAGCCGCAGUGGCAUGAGGGGACAGCAGCAUGGGGGAAAAUGGCUCUCUUUAAUGAGAUGCAUCCCUGUCUUGCCACCCCUCCAUGUGCCCCACUGCCUCCCUCACCCUCUGCUAGGUCUGGAUCAGAAGCAGAGCACGUCUCUCCAUUCCUUUCCAAGAGACGGACCCCUGCAGAGGCGAGGAGAUUAACACCGCUGGGCUGUGCCAAACGGCAGGCUGAUUCCUCAAUGUGGGUCAUGUCCCAUGGGACCGGAGCCAAAAGCAAACCAGUCUGUCAUUGCAGAGUAUUUAUAGGAGGGCUGAACCUACCCCGCAGCCCCUGCACGGCUUCCCCACCCUUCUCAUCCGCUUGCUGAAUGCUUAAAUUUGAAACAGUUGUUGCAUGUUGUUUUAUGGCUGCUGGGGUAUGGCUGGCUGUCUCCCUUAUCGGUGUAAAACGGGGAGCUGUCAAGUGGGAGGGAACGCAUGAGUGGUUUGGUUGAAGUUUUUCAUUUCUUCUGUGCUUCUGAUUCCCCCCAAGCUGGCUUGGUUUGCAAGUGGAGACACCAGGAAUGGGUUGUAGUGGGAUGCUCUCGGCGUUGAUCCAGGGAGGACUUUCUGGUCCGAUGAGCCUGGACAUUGAAGUCCUCUGACAGAGAGCCAGAGAUACUUCAGGAGAAGAGAGGGCUUAUCUGGAGAAGAGGAGGCUCAGGGGAGACCUUAUCACUCUCUACACUACAGCUACCUGAAAGAAGGUUGUGGUGAGAACAUGUCUUGAAGACAGAAACAGGGGUUAGAAGAGCAGAUUUUACUCCUGUGAUUAAGAUGUGCACCAUUUGACUUUGGGUUGUAAAGAAAAAGAAGAAAAAAUAAAACAAGGGAAAAAAAAAAGAGUAAUGCUUUACUAAUUAAGGCACAAUUGAAAGUGAUUGGUGUGCACUGGCAAGCUGCUCCUCUCAGAAAGAGCUGGACUGACAUCUCUACAAUCACUCAGUGAGUAAGCACUGCGAAAACACUGUUUGGCCUGGAAGGAGCUAAUAAGUGCAUAGAUAAAAUCUUAUUUUGAAAGCAACAACAAAGGGCAUGUGAUUUAUAUCUUAGUUGGUGACUUCAUAUGUUUUGCAGAGUUUCUCCAAAAUAUAUCGGAAUUCAUAAUUCAUUUUUAUAACGCAUUACAUUAAAAUAAUAAAUGUCAGGAAGUUUUUCAAGAGACUGAAAAUUCUGUAAGCAGUGCUGAGUGAUCAAAGGAGGAUUUUGACAGGGAGAGACUCCCGUUGACUUGGGGCUUUGGAUCAGACCUGACGCUGGCAACAAAAUGGACAACAGUUAAUAAAAGUGUGCCUGUUAGAACUUGGAUAAGUUGGAGCAGCUAAUUGCAGCAUCUCAACACAAGUUGGGGGAAGAUGCAUGCUGGCUGGAUCCUCACCGCUGCACGUGAUGGGAUGCUGUUGCUCGUCUACAUGGCAACAACCACGGAUGAGCCAAGACAAAGGAAGUGAUAGAGGAGGUGGAGGAGAGAGCAGGGAUUAGAGGGCUGGAGGAAAAACAACUUUCAGGGGGAGAAACCAUUCCAAAACCUACAUUUAUGCAAGGAAAAGGACUGCUGAGUUAAAAGUAGUAUAUCAUUUCUGGACUUUUUCAUUUCCUACAUGUUGGAGGAGUUAUCUCUGUGUGUUUCCAUUCUUUUUCUUAAUGGAGGCAUAUAUGACGUGUUUCUCACUCAUUGUAGUAUUUCAUGUUUUCAUGAGUGUUAACAAAAGCAUGGGACAAAGCCAAAGAGGUAACUACCCACCAUACCCUAGUGCAGCUGUUUCACGUUUAUAAAACUCAUGUAUCACCAUGCAGAAUUGGUCAGUGUUUUGCCUGUCUGUACCUGCAGGGAUGUAUUUUGCUGCAAAAUGCCAUUCAGGUUUGUGGACCACAAAAUGGAGAUGGAGAUCCCACAACUUCAGUUGUAGAGCAACCAGAACUCAUUCUCUCCUCACACAUCUAGAGCUCCACUCCCAGCCAUCCUAGUGGCCUUGCUGGGCUUUUUUCUAACCAUGCUGGUGGCCUUGCUGGGUGUUUUCCUAGCUCCUGGUACUAGGGAGCUCAAGUCCAGUGCCCAGAUGUGAUCUCAGGGUCUGAGUAGAGGGGAAGAAUUAUAUCCCCUAGCUUGCUAGCUGCCCCUUUGCAAAUUCACCUCUGGAUGUGAUCAUCCUGUGCUGCAAGUGUGGAGACAUAGUAGUGAGGACCUCAUAGUCUACCAAGAUGCCCCUGGUCUAUCCAGAUGGUCCCAGCUUGUGCUGCCACAUGGGUUAUUCCUCCUCAUAUACUGAACUCUACAUUUCUCUGCGGUGAACUUCUUGAGAUUCCUGCUAAUCCUUCUCUCCACCUCAUUUCUUCGAAUAGCAUUGCUCCUCUGCACUGCAUCAAUCACUCCUUGUUUGUGUGUCCUCUGCAGACUUGCUGAGAGGGCAGCCUGUUCACUGCCUAAGGGCUGCUUGAGCUGCCAGGUAGCUCCACAAUGACAUCCUUUGGAAAUGUGCACCACCUCCGACUUGAUCAGCUGGGCUGUACAACCUUAAUGGUAUAGAAGAUUCCAUGCAGUUUCAAGUCGUCAUCCAACUUUUAGAUGCAAGAUCUAAAGGCCCAUGUGGUACUUUAAUAUCUUGAUGAUUUACAGCUGGGAUUGAGACUUUGUCCAAACUUUCACUCCAUUUGUAUAAACCUUUCAUGCUGAUUGAGAACUCUGCAAAUGAAGUCUCUGACUUUUAUUUACACUUUAUGAAAAUUGAGUUGUUCUCAAGUGACCCUACAUCUCACCUCAGAGUGGUGAAAAUUCACAGCCACGGAGCGUGGAUUCAUGCAGACUGAGGGCUCAGUUUGUAGAUCUGAAUCUACAGAUAUUCAAAGAGAUUUUUCCCAGGGGAAAACAGUCAAAUGUGGAUGAUAAAAGUGAGUGAGUAAUGUACUGAGAGCAUAUCUUCUUACUGCAUUUGCUCGGAGUGUCUGUUUAUGAUGAAUGUAAAGCAGACCCAACAGCAGAGUUCAGUUAGGGGUGUGCGUUUAUGUGCUGGGAUUUUAUGUCUAACAUGGCCUGUUAGGCUUUUUGAAAAGGAAAAACAUAAAACCUUGCCUGUUUUCUUAAAAAAAUGCAUUACUGUACUGCUCUUCGUGUUUUAAAGUACUGAUAAAAAAAAAGAAAGAAAGAAAGAAAGAAGUUGUUUAUAUUAUUUGUAUUACCUUAAGCCCCAGGAAGAACAGACACAACUCCAUUUGCAAGCAAAUAUAGCUUGUGUUGGAUUGAAUAGCCCAAGAAGGUGUCAUUAUUCGUUUCUCAGAAUGCAUCAGCUUAACGUCUUGCUGAGGUUCACAUACAAACCCUACAGCAAAGCUGGACCUGCGAGCAGAACAGCUCCUGCCAAGAAAACAAAGACCGUAUCAGCUGGAUGGUAGGUGCCUGUGAUGUGUGAGGGAUAAGCAGAGAGCUGUGGAAAGAUUUCUGAGAAGGAACCACAUCAGUGUGCUGGGCCAGCGCUCCCUUGGUGCCUGAAACCUCCAGCUGCUGAUGUUCUGGAGUGAGAAAAUGGGCAGAGAGAUUAUUUUUGAAUUUUUGAGGGCUGGUUUUGCAUCUUGGCCCAUCUUUUUCUGGAAACGGUUAGUAGUUGUAACUGACUCCCAGAUGUGUGGCUAAAAUAAUUUGCUUUUAUUAAUAUUCAGAUAUGAGAAUCCAGAAAUAAAGUGGGGAA
rnacentral:lncRNA from 1 species